CCAAUAGCGUAUAUUAAAGUUGUUGCAGUUAAAAAGCUCGUAGUUGAAUUUCGGGAUCAAUACGUCGGUCGUGCCUCUGGUAUGUACUGGUGUUAUUGAUUUCUCCCUUCUGAUGAACCAUGAUGUCAUUCAUUUGGUGUUGUGUGGAGUCAGGACUGUUACUUUGAAAAAAUUAGAGUGUUUAAAGCAGGCUUACGCUUGAAUACAUUAGCAUGGAAUAAUGAAAUAGGACGUUCGAUCCUAUUUUGUUGGUUUCUAGGAUCAACGUAAUGAUUAAUAGGGAUAGUUGGGGGCAUUAGUAUUCAAUUGUCAGAGGUGAAAUUCUUGGAUUUAUUGAAGACUAACUACUGCGAAAGCAUUUGCCAAGGAUGUUUUCAUUAAUCAAGAACGAAAGUUAGGGGAUCGAAGACGAUCAGAUACCGUCGUAGUCUUAACCAUAAACUAUGCCGACUAGGGAUCGGAUGAUGUUAAUUUUUUAAUGACUCAUUCGGCGCCUUACG
rnacentral:rRNA from 1 species